rnacentral:rRNA from 1 species
AUGUGCCAACCACAAUGGCUACAAGAAGUUGCCAAUUCCUACGAGACCGACCCCGACUCUCAAGAGCUGCUCACCAAGCUGGCUGUCAUCAACACUGGCGAUCAAGGGCGUACCCUGCAGCAAGGCGUAAUCCGGCAACGCGGUCAACUCUGGAUUGGCGCCAACUCAGCUCUUCAGACCAAACUCAUCGCUGCUCUCCACCAUAGCGCCGUGGGAGGUCACUCAGGCGCCACAGCAACAUAUCACGGAGUGCGCAAACUUUUUGCAUGGCCAGGUCUGAAGCGUGCCAUUGAGGAUUUUGUUCGCCAAUGCAUUGUCUGCCAGCAUGCCAAGCAUGAGAACACGCACCCGGCGGGGCAUAUUUCCAACACUUCCAAUACCUACAGCGCCAUGGCAAGACCUCACCAUGGACUUUGUCGAGGGAUUACCCAAAUCUGA